rnacentral:rRNA from 1 species
AGAGUUUGAUCCUGGCUCAGAACGAACGCUGGCGGCAGGCUUAACACAUGCAAGUCGAGCGCCCGCAAGGGGAGCGGCAGACGGGUGAGUAACGCGUGGGAAUCUACCUUUUGCUACGGAAUAACUCAGGGAAACUUGUGCUAAUACCGUAUGUGCCCUUCGGGGGAAAGAUUUAUCGGCAAAGGAUGAGCCCGCGUUGGAUUAGCUAGUUGGUGAGGUAAAGGCUCACCAAGGCGACGAUCCAUAGCUGGUCUGAGAGGAUGAUCAGCCACACUGGGACUGAGACACGGCCCAGACUCCUACGGGAGGCAGCAGUGGGGAAUAUUGGACAAUGGGCGCAAGCCUGAUCCAGCCAUUCCGCGUGAGUGAUGAAGGCCCUAGGGUUGUAAAGUUCUUUCAACGGUGAAGAUAAUGACGGUAACCGUAGAAGAAGCCCCGGCUAACUUCGUG